rnacentral:lncRNA from 1 species
UUCUCAUUGGUUGUUUCUCACGCAGAGCCCGCCCUCUUUCGAAUUUCUUCGGCGAAUCGGGUUUCUUGCUCUGUGACGACGCGAUAGUUCCGGGAAAAUGGCGGCCCCCUGAGAGGGGGCAACGUGUGAUGUUUAGGCAGGUGUAACCAUCUGUGAUUAAAUGUGACUGGAGGAGCACAAAGCAUGGAGAGAGGAUCUGAUUAUCCGAUUGGCUGACGGCAGGACGGUCAAAGGUCAGCUGGAGUGACCUCGCCGUUACAGAUGGCCGAGAGUGAACGUGGUGUACAGAGUGAAUGGAGAUCUGUGGGAUCUAAGUCUCUCUCUGGUGGAGGACUGCGUGAACUGCAGCUGCUGGGUUUUGACUCACUGGAGGGCAGACAGGUACAAGCUUUUGAUUGUUUAAGAGUUUUGCCUUCGAGCGUUAACAAUGAACAAGUAAACACUGUCUCUUCUCUUUCCAGCCCCUGAUAUUAGCACUGCAUCUAGCGUAGGGCUGUGCAAUUAAUCGAAAUUGCGCCCCAUUCCACCCCCUUUCCAGCGCUGCGCUUUCGUUCCUCCAUAAAAGCCCAGUUUCAUGUGCAAAUCAGUGAAAUCAUGUAACUUCUGCAGCAUGGGACGUGCUCAGAGACACACAUGUAAAGCGUAAAGUCAUCUUUUAGCUCAAGGUGCGCGCCUAAACUAAUGCUGCACUUAGUGAUUAUUCACGUAAACCCUCGUCGGUCAUAAAUGAACAUAAAGAGUUGAGAAUGAAAAUACAUUCGUUGGAUCCGUGUGCUCUUGUGACAGCGGGCUAAUAUUCCUGAC